UAAUACGGAGGGUGCAAGCGUUGUCCGGAUUCAUUGGGUUUAAAGGGUGCGUAGGCGGCCCUGUAAGUCAGCGGUGAAAUCCCACGGCUCAACCGUGGAACUGCCGUUGAUACUGCGGGGCUUGAGUUCGCCCGAGGUCGCUGGAAUGCGUGGUGUAGCGGUGAAAUGCAUAGAUAUCACGCAGAACACCGAUUGCGAAGGCAGGUGACUGGGGCGCGACUGACGCUGAGGCACGAAAGUGUGGGGAGCAAACAGGAUUAGAUACCCUGGUAGUCCACACCGUAAACGAUGGAUACUAGGUGUCCGGCCUUUCGGGGCUGGGUGCCCAAGGGAAACCGAUAAGUAUCCCACCUGGGGAGUACGUCCGCAAGGAUG
rnacentral:rRNA from 1 species